ACGAGGAGGUAGUGACGAAAAAUAACGAGGUGGCCCUCUUUGAGGUCCAUCAUCGGAAUGGGUACAAUUUAAAUCCUUUAACGAGGAUCUAUUGGAGGGCAAGUCUGGUGCCAGCAGCCGCGGUAAUUCCAGCUCCAAUAGCGUAUACUAAAGUUGUUGCGGUUAAAAAGCUCGUAGUUGGAUCUGCGCCAGGUGGAAGCGGUCGCCCGAUGGGUUGUUACUGCUUACCUCUGGCUAACCAUUCGGUUUUCCCUUGAUGCUCUUAAAUGAGUGUCCUGGGUGACCGGAACGUUUACUUUGAAAAAAUUAGAGUGCUCAAAGCAGGCAUUUCGCCCGAAUAUUCGUGCAUGGAAUAAUAAAAGAGGUCCUUGUAGCCUUUUAUUGGUUAUCGCUACGAGGAAAUGAUCGAAGGGGACAGACGGGGGCAUUUGUAUUGCGACGUUAGAGGUGAAAUUCUUGGAUCGUCGCAAGACAAACUACUGCGAAAGCAUUUGCCAAGAAUGUUUUCAUCAAUCAAGAACGAAAGUCUGAGG
rnacentral:rRNA from 1 species